AGUGAGGAAUAUUGGUCAAUGGUCGCAAGACUGAACCAGCCAUGCCGCGUGCAGGAAGACGGUCCUAUGGAUUGUAAACUGCUUUUAUACAGGAAGAAACCCUCCCACGUGUGGGAGCUUGACGGUACUGUAGGAAUAAGGAUCGGCUAACUCCGUGCCAGCAGCCGCGGUAAUACGGAGGAUCCAAGCGUUAUCCGGAAUCAUUGGGUUUAAAGGGUCCGUAGGCGGUCUUAUAAGUCAGUGGUGAAAGCCCAUCGCUCAACGAUGGAACUGCCAUUGAUACUGUAAGACUUGAAUGUUUAGGAAGUAACUAGAAUAUGUAGUGUAGCGGUGAAAUGCUUAGAUAUUACAUGGAAUACCAAUUGCGAAGGCAGGUUACUACUAAGUGAUUGACGCUGAUGGACGAAAGCGUGGGGAGCGAACAGGAUUAGAUACCCUGGUAGUCCACGCCGUAAAACGAUGGAUACUAGCUGUUCGGAGC
rnacentral:rRNA from 1 species